GAUGAACGCUAGCUACAGGCUUAACACAUGCAAGUCGAGGGGCAGCAUGGGCUUAGCUUGCUAAGCCCGAUGGCGACCGGCGCACGGGUGAGUAACACGUGAGCAACCUGCCUUUCAGAGAGGGAUAGCUUCUGGAAACGGAUGGUAAUACCUCAUAAAAUAUUUUUGUGGCAUCACAGAAAUAUCAAAGAUUUAUCGCUGAAAGAUGGGCUCGCGUCUGAUUAGCUAGUUGGUGAGGUAACGGCCCACCAAGGCAACGAUCAGUAGCCGGACUGAGAGGUUGAACGGCCACAUUGGGACUGAGACACGGCCCAG
rnacentral:rRNA from 1 species